rnacentral:rRNA from 1 species
AGCGGCAACAGCUCAAAUUUGAAAUCUGGCCCCGUCCGCGGGGUCCGAGUUGUAAUUUGCAGAGGAUGCUUUCGGCGAGGCGCCUUCCGAGUGCCCUGGAACGGGCCGCCGCAGAGGGUGAGAGCCCCGUACGGUCGGACGCCGAGCCGGUGUAAAGCUCCCUCGACGAGUCGAGUAGUUUGGGAAUGCUGCUCUAAACGGGAGGUAAACCCCUUCUAAAGCUAAAUACCGGCCAGAGACCGAUAGCGCACAAGUAGAGUGAUCGAAAGAUGAAAAGUACUUUGAAAAGAGAGUCAAACAGCACGUGAAAUUGUUGAAAGGGAAGCGCUUGUGGCCAGACUUGCGCCCCGGCGGCUCAGCCGUCCCUCGUGGGCGGUGCACUCCGCCGGGCGCAGGCCAGCAUCAGCUCGUGGCGGGGGAGAAAGGCGGCGGGAACGUGGCUCUUC